AUAUCAGUCAUGCAUAGCAUAUCAAUAAGCGGAGGAAAAGAAACUAACAAGGAUUCCCCUAGUAACGGCGAGUGAAGCGGGAAGAGCUCAAAUUUGAAAUCUUAAAAGGUUUUCCUUUUACGAAUUGUAGUUUAAAGAAGUGUUUUCUGUUGAAAUUUUAGUAAAAGUUCUUUGGAAUAGGACAUCAUAGAGGGUGAGAAUCCCGUAUUUGACUAGAAUUUUUUAACUUUGUGAUACACUUUCAAAGAGUCGGAUUGUUUGGGAAUGCAGUCCAAAAUGGGUGGUAAAUUUCAUCUAAAGCUAAAUAUUGGCGAGAGACCGAUAGCGAACAAGUACCGUGAGGGAAAGAUGAAAAGAACUUUGAAAAGAGAGUUAAAUAGUACGUGAAAUUGUCAAAAGGGAAGCGUUUGGCACCAGUGUUGUUUUUCUAAAAAUCAAUUUAAAAUUUGCUUAUGCUAAGUUUUUUAGACUUAAUCGGCUAAUAAUUUAGUUUUUUGUAAUUUUUGAAUGCACUUUUUAGUUAACAAGUCAACAUCAAUUUCUUUUGUUGUAAAAGAAUAAGAGGAAGGUGGCUUGGGAUUCGUUUACAAGUGUUUAUAGCCUUUUAUUUCUGCAAUAGGAGGGAUUGAGGUCUGCAGCAUAGAUCCUUCGGGGCUAGAUGCAUUUUCGCUAAGAGUCAGUAUUAUAUAAACAACUUGUUGAUUAUGUAGUAUGUUGAUUUUUACUCGGGAGUGUUAUUUUACCUACGCUUAGGAUGUUGAUCUACAGAGCGAGAGU
rnacentral:rRNA from 1 species